rnacentral:lncRNA from 1 species
CCACUUCUUGAUUGUUAUUCUUCUUGAUUAGUUGAGGGUUCAAGAAAGAUUUAUGAUUUCUUCAAAAAUCAUGAAAAAAAGAUCAAAAGGGAUUCAAGGGUUGAUCCCUAUUCAAGCUUGGUUCAAGCCUAUUCAGGCUUUAAGUUCAAGUGAGUUGUAUCAAGAGGAGCUUAUCUAGAUCGGCCUUAUAGAUACCCAUAGAGAUAGGAUACUUAUGUUACUGAUUCAGAAUCUGCUCAACCCUAGAUCCAAAGAUUGAAUUAGACUUAACCCCAGUUACAGAUUUGAGGCAAAAGAAAAAGCGAUUCAGAUAUGUGAAUUGAUUACAGGCUUUCAUUUAUUCAUCUUAAAAUUAGUUUAUGUUAAUUUCAGCAUAUGAAUUAGAUCUAUAGAUACUUUUAUAUGAUGAAUGAAUACUUAGAUUAAAAAUAUUUUAAUCUGAUUUUUUUAAUAUAUUUUGGUUUUAGAAAAGAUUUGAAAUCCAUAUGCACUAGCACCUGUAGAAAAUUCAAUAGUGGUAUCAGAGUCACAUGUUC